rnacentral:rRNA from 1 species
CAGCGCCACGAGUGGGAACCAUAUUUAUUGGGUCUAAAGCAUCCGUAGCCGGUCUAAUAAGUCUUCUGUGAAAUUGUUGGACUUAAUUUAACAACGUGCAGAAGAUACUGUCAGACUUGGAACCAGGAGGGGUUGAAGGUAUUUUUGGGGGAGCGGUAAAAUGUUAUAAUCCCAGAAGGACCACCAGUGGCGAAGGCGUUCAACCAGAAUGGAUUCGACGGUGAGGGAUGAAAGCCAGGGGAUCAAAACGGAUUAGAGACCCGAGUAGUCC